rnacentral:rRNA from 1 species
UACGUAGGGGGCUAGCGUUGUCCGGAAUCAUUGGGCGUAAAGCGCGCGUAGGCGGCCCGGUAAGUCCGUUGUGAAAGUCAAAGGCUCAACCUUUGAAAGCCGAUGGAUACUGCCGGGCUAGAGUCCGGAAGAGGCGAGUGGAAUUCCUGGUGUAGCGGUGGAAUGCGCAGAUAUCAGGAGGAACACCGAUGGCGAAGGCAGCUCGCUGGGACGGUACUGACGCUGAGGCGCGAAAGCGUGGGGAGCAAACAGG